rnacentral:tRNA from 1 species
GGGGCUAUAGCUCAGCUGGGAGAGCGCUUGCAUGGCAUGCAAGAGGUCGACUGUUCGAUCCCGUCUAGCUCCACCA